UGAAGAGUUUGAUCAUGGCUCAGAUUGAACGCUGGCGGCAGGCCUAACACAUGCAAGUCGAGCGGCAGCACAGAGAAACUUGUUUCUCGGGUGGCGAGCGGCGGACGGGUGAGUAAUGCCUGGGAAAUUGCCCUGAUGUGGGGGAUAACCAUUGGAAACGAUGGCUAAUACCGCAUGAUGCCUACGGGCCAAAGAGGGGGACCUUCGGGCCUCUCGCGUCAGGAUAUGCCCAGGUGGGAUUAGCUAGUUGGUGAGGUAAGGGCUCACCAAGGCGACGAUCCCUAGCUGGUCUGAGAGGAUGAUCAGCCACACUGGAACUGAGACACGGUCCAGACUCCUACGGGAGGCAGCAGUGGGGAAUAUUGCACAAUGGGCGCAAGCCUGAUGCAGCCAUGCCGCGUGUGUGAAGAAGGCCUUCGGGUUGUAAAGCACUUUCAGUUGUGAGGAAGGUG
rnacentral:rRNA from 1 species